GAGUUUGAUUAUGGCUCAGGAUGAACGCUAGCGAUAGGCUUAACACAUGCAAGUCGAGGGGCAGCGAGGGUAGCAAUACCUGUCGGCGACCGGUGCACGGGUGAGUAACGCGUAUGUAACCUGCCCGCAACAGGGGGAUAACCCGGCGAAAGUCGGACUAAUACCGCAUAAAACAGGGGUCCCGCAUGGGAAUAUUUGUUAAAGAUUUAUCGGUUGCGGAUGGGCAUGCGUACCAUUAGGUAGUUGGUGAGGUAACGGCUCACCAAGCCUUCGAUGGUUAGGGGUUCUGAGAGGAAGGUCCCCCACACUGGUACUGAGACACGGACCAGACUCCUACGGGAGGCAGCAGUGAGGAAUAUUGGUCAAUGGGCGAGAGCCUGAACCAGCCAAGUCGCGUGAAGGAUGACUGCCCUAUGGGUUGUAAACUUCUUUUACAAGGGAAUAAAAUGAGAUANCGUGUAUUUUAUUGCAUGACCU
rnacentral:rRNA from 1 species